CGGACGCACUUCCGCCGCCGGCAGGUCUGAGGCUCCGAGGGGCUGGGCAGGUCCGGGGGGCCACCUUCCCCGGGCGCUGGAGUGUGCCCUAAAGGAUAACACGUAUCAGCAAUCCUCCUCUUGGCCCAUUGGAGUGGGAAUGGCUGCUGUUUUCCUCCAGAUGUUCCUGAAGAGCCAAAAGGGCUCUUUGAAGUAACUAACAAAAAAGGGCCUGUGCUUCCCUGGUGGCGCAGGGAAGAGAGAGUCCGCCUGCCGAUGCAGGGGACGUGGGUUUGUGCCCCGGUCCAGGAAGAUCCCACAUGCCGCAGAGCAGCUGGGCUCGUGAGCCAUGGCCGCUGAGCCUGCGCGUCUGGAGCCUGUGCUCUGCAACGGGAGAGGCCACAACAGUGAGAGGCCCGCGUACCGCAAAAAAAAUGGCGUGCUGUGGGUCAGAGAUCUGGCACAAAAGGGAGCAGCCAAAACAACCUGGAGUUAUUCUGCCAGCGCUUCCAACAUUCCUGCUACAAGGAGACUCCUGGGCCCCAUGAGGCCUUGAGCCAUCUCUGGGUGUUCUGCUGUGAGUGGUUAAGGCCUGAGAUACACACCGGGGAGCAGAUGUUAGACUUGCUGGUGCUGGAGCAGUUCCUGACCAUCCUGCCUGAGGAGCUCCAGGACUGGGUACAGGAUCCUCAACCAGAAAGUGGGGAGGAGGUGGUAGCUAUGCUGGAAGAUCUGGAGAGGGAGCUGGAUGAAUCAGGCCAACAGGUUUCAACCCAGGCCUGUGCACAGGAAGUGCUUUCUGAGACAUCGGUACCUCUGGAUCCAGCUAAGAAAGCAACGUAUCUCCAGCCUCAACCCAUGGAGAUCCAGCAUAAGGGUGAAUCUCAGGACCCUCUACACCAACAGGAUUGUAGUUAGUAUUGACACUUAGGUCCUAUGGCUCCCCUGGAGACCUUAGAAUCAUUCAUCAUUCAGCAGAUGUAUAUUGAAUACUUAUUAUCUACCAGGUACUGAGCAAGGCACUAGGUGUAAUAAACAAAGUGGACAUGAUCUUUGUUUUCAUGGAGCUUACAAUAGUCUGACGACAGAGGCAUUAAACAAACAACCACACAAAUAAAUAUGCCGUGAUAGAUUGUAUAUGGGGGGGAGAGGGAUGACAGAGAAGGUCUCUUUGAGGAAAUAACAUGGUAACUGAAUCCUAAAAGUAGAGUAGGAAUUAACCAAGUGAAUAAUAAAGGGGAAAGCAUUCCAGGCCAAAAGAGCAUGUGCAAAAACAAGUGUGAAAGAAAUUGGUGGGUUUGAAAGAUGGCCAGUGUGACUGGAACGUGGAGAGACAGGCAGAGUAGCAGAGAGAAGAUGGUCAGGAACCAGAAAAUGGGGGCUUUGUGGGUCCUGUUAAGAAGUCAGUAAAUCUUUACUUUUCACUGUGUGUAAGCCUAGCUCUGGGUUCUCUGAGGAUCCCUGCCCUAAAGGGGUUGAGUAUCCAUAAAAAGAUAGCCGUUGAUUUGAGACAGUGAAUGAUUAUGUGCCAAAUUGGAGAUCAUGGUUCUUAGGAGAAGAAAUCUACUUCUUCAGGCCCUGGUGGUAGCAGAAUGGCUAGGAUUUGAACUGGGUCAUAAAAAAAAGGGGGUAGCAUUUCACUGGGCAGAGAACAUCAGGAAGGCUGUUGCUCAUACUCACUCCUCUUCUAGCUCUCUCUGUCCUGCUACCCUGUUCUUCAGCUCUUUAGUGGAGAUUUCUAGUUAUUUAGCCCAUUUUUUUCCUCCCAGUGCUUCUUUCCUUCCCUGUCCUAUCAGAACCAUGACAUAUUUGGGUUUUGCUAAUAUGCUCAGCAUUCUCCCAGCCACCCUCACUGCACUGCCACACACAUCAACACCCUGUUGGAUUCAUAAAACACCACCUGUGACCAUACCUUCUCCACUCGCCUGCCAAACCAACUCAGAGCUAUUCUUCAAGACGCACCUCAGCUGUCACCUCCUUCAGGAAGCCUUUCUUGAUACUUUCCUACAUGUUUGAGUGAUGUGAUACCUCUUGUGCAUACCUCUGGCACAGCAGUUAGCAUAUUGUAUUUCCACUUCACUUGUCUGAAGCUCCUUCUGUUGAUUACAGUUGGUCAUUCUUAGGAACAAGUUUCUUUUUUAAAUGUGAAAUGGACAUUUUCUUUAAUAGUAAGAUGUUAGUUAAGUUUUCUGACAUGUUUUAUCAAUUUCUGAGGCACCAUUCUUGUAUGCCAGCACCUUUCCUCUGGAUUCACUCUUGUUGAAGUUCAUCCUUUAAUAAUUAUUUUAUUGAGUCAUUUGUUGAGACAUGGAUGGAUCUAGAGACUGUCAUACAGAGUGAAGUAAGUCAGAAAGAGAAAAACAAAUAUUGUAUAUUAACGCAUGUAUGUGGAACCUAGAAAAAUGGUACAGAUGAACCGGUUUGCAGGGCAAAAAUAGAGACACAGAUGUAGAGAACAAACGUAUGGACACCAAGGGGGGAAAGCCAUGGGGGUGUGUGUGAUGAAUUGGGAGAUUGGGAUUGACAUGUAUACACUGAUGUGUAUAAAAUGGAUGACUAAUAAAAACCUGCUGUAUAAAAAAUAAAAUAAAAUAAAAUUCAAAAAUUAAAAUAAUAAUAAUUUUAGCAAGAUUCUUUGGGUAGUAGACUUAGUCUUUGCAUCUCGGAAAAUACCCUUAUUUUUCCCUCCCUCCUUUUUAAUCAAAAAAGCAGCUAAGAAAUGGAAAGAUGGGGAUAAACUCUAUGAGAGGAGGAAAGCGAAGAGAAGUUAGGGAGAAAAGGGAAAGACCAGAGAUGCCAGAAAAACAAACUUCAAACAGGAAAUGGAAACAAAAUUAGUGAAAACAUAAUAAAUGACAAAGCAACCUUUAAAGAAACAUGAAGGGGAGGUUGAGGGUUUGUAGAGGCUAGAGCCCAUGUUUUGAUUGUUAACCUCCCAGUGACUUCAGAGUAAAAAUCAACCCUUUAUUUCUAUGCCAUGUAGGCCAAAUCCCUCAUAUGAAAGAUCCUAACCCAAACCUGAGUUCACUACUCUAAACACCACUCAGGAUCCUUGUCCUGCAUGGGUCUCAGUGUUGAGACACAGGACGCCCCUCUUUACCACUCUAAGCCUCAACUUGUUGAACUCUGCUCAGCCUGAACUCUACCUUCUUAGCAAAACCAAACAAGCAGAAGGAUUCUCCUGAGGAGCAAUAAUAUAUUCUUGGCCUCUCUCUGCGAGGCAUGUGGCUUGCCUGUUCCACUAAAGAGGAAAAAGCAUGAUGUUGUGAGAUAGUAAUAUCCAUUAUAAAUUAAAUAAUGAUAUACGCAAAAGGAAAAGCCCUUUUCAAAGUAUAACAGUAAUAGCUACCGUCUCUUGAACCCGUGUCCCAGACACUAUACCAAGCACCUUAUUAUCAAUAUAUAUCUCAUGUAAACUUUCCAUCUCUUCUAUAAGCACUAUUUAUUAUAUCUCAAUGUCUACAUAUAAUUUAUUCUUAUGAAAAGCUUGUAAUAAAAUGAAAAGUUUUUAGUACAUUAAAAUGUUAAAUAGCCUGUUAAAGUGCUUUUAGAAUAAAAUCACACAACUGUGUAAAACAGAUUAAAAAUAUCAAAAAGUGGAAGGGAAUGACAACAACAUGUCAAUAGUGACUGUAUUUAGGUGAUGAAAAUGGAACGAUUCUCUUCUUUUCUUUCUA